CCUUAGAUGUCCGGGGCCGCACGCGCGCUACACUGAAGGAAUCAGCGUGGCUUUCUCCCUGACCCGAAAGGGUUGGGAAACCCGUUGAAUCUCCUUCGUGAUAGGGAUUGGGGCUUGAAAUUGUUCCCCAUGAACGAGGAAUUCCCAGUAAGCGCGAGUCAUAAGCUCGCGUUGAUUACGUCCCUGCCCUUUGUACACACCGCCCGUCGCUACUACCGAUUGAACGGUUUAGUGAGGGCCUCGGAUUGGUCUCGGCCCGCUCUUUACCGGGCGGCGCCGUUGGUCGAGAAGACGCUCGAACUUGAUCGUUUAGAGGAAGUAAAAGUCGUAACA
rnacentral:rRNA from 1 species